ACUCACCAUUCUUUCUUCAUUGGUCUACCUUCAGAUUUCCUCCUUAUGGUUACCAUUCCACACUUCUCUUUCAACCCACAAUAAUAUCUCCCAACAACACAAAUCUUCUCUUAGUUUAACCUUCCUUGCUAUUCAAAACAAUUGCCACCCCCCUUUUUGAGAGCUCAAUCAUGGCUGCUGCACCCUUCUUGCUUGAAUCAAACCUUAAAUGGAACCCUUUGUUCUAUACUCCAAACCCAAUACAGUGUACCCGUUUAAUCCAUUAUCAAAAGCUUACACCUUCUAAAUUCUCCAAAACCUCUAAGCUGACCGUCAAAUGUUUCAGCAAGAAUCAUAAAAAUGUCUGCUUUAAUGAUGGGGAUGGGUUGGAAGUGAAGAAUAAAGAAAACCCAUUUGAGAUAGUUGUCAAAAGUGUCAUGAAAGCUCUCAAAGCGUUGCAGAAGCCAGCUGUAGCGGCUGUAUUGGUGGGGUUGUUGUUGAUGUAUGAUCCGAAUUCAGCAUUGGCUGCUUCUGGUGGGAGGAUAGGUGGCAAGUCCUUCUCGUCGUCGCGGAGUUCGGCUCCGUCCAGGGGGUAUUCUAUGAGGACAGCAGAGCCUAGUUUUUCGUAUUCAGCUCCGUAUUAUGCGCCCUCCCCUUUUGGGUUUAGUGGGGGUGGUGUUUACGUAGGUCCAGCUGUUGGUUUUGGGUCCAGUGCCUUUCUGGUUAUGAUGGGUUUUGCUGCGUUUAUUAUGGUUUCUGGGUUUCUAUCUGAUCGGUCUGAGGGCAGUGUGCUUACUGCUACUGGAAAAACUAGUGUGCUCAAGCUACAGGUUGGGUUGUUGGGAUUGGGUAGAUCACUUCAAAAGGAUCUCAACCGGAUUGCUGAAGUGGCAGAUACAUCCACACCAGAGGGUUUAAGCUUUGUCUUGACAGAGACGACAUUAGCUUUGCUUCGACACCCUGGUUAUUGCAUUUCAGCUUAUUCAUCUGUUGAUGUCAAGAGGAGCAUGGAGGAAGGUGAAAAUCGAUUCAAUCAACUUUCCAUUGAGGAACGUGGUAAAUUUGAUGAAGAGACACUUGUGAAUGUGAACAACAUUAGAAGGAAAAGCUCUACGAGCCAGAGGGCAACUGGAUUUAGCAAUGAAUACAUAGUGGUUACAAUCUUGGUUGCUGCUGAAGGUGCUUAUAAAUUGCCUACUAUUAACGGAAGUGGAGACUUGAAAGAAGCAUUGCAAAAGAUUGCGUCUAUUCCUUCCAGUAGAACACUGGCAGUCGAGAUUUUAUGGACUCCACAGAACGAAAACGACACAUUAUCAGAACGACAACUUCUUGAGGAUUACCCUCUCUUGCGACCUCUGUAAGAAAUCUUGGAUUUCCUGCUUCUUUUUUGCUUUCUUAAAGAUUAUACAAGCUCCUAUCAACCCCUUUUGUUAUCUCCGUGUAUAUAUAUAACUCGUAGAGCAUCGACAAUCCUUGUAUAAGAAUGAGGGUAAAUCG
rnacentral:misc_RNA from 1 species